CCAUGAAAAAAAUCUAAAGAAUGCGAUAUCAAAAGUUACUUUAUAUCAAAUAAUACAUUUCAUGCAUAGUAACAUUUGAUCUUAUAAUUACAUGUUUCGGAAUAAUGAGCUUCAUAUCUAUCAUUUCAAGUACAAUUUUUGUUUUUGGAAAUGAAAUUCCAAGUGAUUAGAAAAUAAAACAGAAGCUCAAAAAUGUAUGGAAACGAUGCAUGACGUUCCAAGAUAUUAAUUCCUAAAAUUUAAAGCACACCCUUAAGCAAAUAUCCAGAUUGGCUCCAUAAGUAGAAAAAUAAUUUAAGAGAUUAACAAAAACUUGUACUGCUAAUUGUAGAAGUGCCUGUACACACAACCAUAAAAGUAAAUUUCUUACUCCAACUUAAACUGGUAUUUUAAAAUUGACAUGUACGCCUUUCUUGGAGAAAUAUAAAAAGAGAGGUUAAAAGCUGCUAAAAAAUAGUAAUGUUUCUUUUUUCGAAAUCGCGCAGUAAUGUGCUUUUUCUAUGUUCAAAAAUCGGCACAGAAAUUAAAUGCGGUGUUGUCAUAUUAGUAUUAUCUACCUCCACAAUUACAUUUUACAAGGUUAUAAAUUGUUUUUCGGUUUAGCAGUAAUUCUAUACUCUUUGAUAACCCUUUUUAUUAGUUAUUAGAAACACAUCCGGUUUAUUAAUUUUAUAAAUAUAAUUUAUUAACUAAAUUUGCGCGUAAUCUCGCAACGUCGCAACCUUGCAUGGCAACAGCGGAUUUCUUGAAGUGCAGCGACAUUCUAUGGCAGCGAACAAUGUGUAUCCACAUAACCUGUAAUAAGUUUUUGUUCGGUGCAGAAACAACCAUGGAAAACAUUAUAUGGAGAAUAUCUCAUUUUGCAUACGAGUAUUUCGCUGAAAAAGAAAAUUCUGUGAAAUCAACAUUUUGGGCUACAUAGUCGUUGUUAAAGUCAACUGUGUUAAUAUAAAACAGCAUAGAUAUAAUCUAAGUACACCAAGUUCUCAAGCAAAAAAUAUAGGUUAUGUUUCCCAGAAAUCAAAUAUAUUUACAAGAGAAAACUUACGAAAAUUUUUAACAGAGGCCCGUGAUUAAUGUACCUAAUGUCAAAGGUAUAUUUUUUAUUCGAAGUUGUAGGAGUAUGCGGAAAGGAAGAAUUUGAACAAUUUUCUUGUAUCUACAUAACCUAUAAUAAGCUUUUAUUAUUAUUACAGAACAGAUUAUUAGCUUACAUGCCCAUUUUAAAUGAAAGUAUGAAGCAUACCUCUUAUUUUUCGGCACUUUUAAUAUUUUUGCUUGCAGAAAGAUCUGCAGCAAUUGCAAAAUAGAGAUGGAUAGCAAUAAUAACAAGCAGUUUACAUGCAUUCGACCGAACUUGCAAAAACUGGCAGAUAAUAUAUCAAAUUUAUUACCUAAAAACUCAGCCACAGUUUAUGAAAAGCGGUAUGAAUUUUUUUUUUUUUGCGCAGAAACAACCAUGUAAAAUAUAUGGAGAACACCUCAUUGCAUACGAGUAUUUCGCUGAAAAAGCAAAUUCUGUGAAAUCUUUAACACUUUGGGCUGCAUAGUCGUAGUUAAAGUCAACUCUGUUAAUAAAAAACAGCAUAGAUAUAUCUAAGUACACCAAGUUUUCAAGCAAAAAAUAUAGGUUACAUUGCCAAGAAAUCAAAUAUAUUUACAAGAGAAGACUUACCAAAAUUUUUAACAGAAGCCCGUGAUUAAAUGUACAUGAUGUUAAAGGUUUAUUUUUUAUUAGAAGUUGUAGGAGCAUGUGGAAUGGAUAAAUUGAAAAAUAAUGACGGCAUUCAAGACAAAAACGAUACGCUAAUAAUUAAAAUUCCAACGUCUAAAACUGGCAAAGCACGAGAAUUUACAAAUAUGUGUAAAAAUAUUUAUCCAAUUGAAAUAUAGUAAAAAUACCUAAUUUUAAGACCGCACCAUACACCAGACAAAUCAUUAUUUAUACAUUACAUUUGGAUAGUGAAUGCAGCAGCUGCUGCAUUGUACAAAUAUACCUGCAAACACACUGUAACAAAUUAUGCAGACACCUCUUUUGACUAAAAGAUAUAUAUUUAACUUUAUCCAUACGUUGUCAACUUUGUUAAUAAUUGCAAUCUCUAACUUCAUAAGAAAUAUGAAUAAUCUACUUUGGUGUUUUAUAGUAGUAUUAAAUGUUCAUAGAAUAUAAUUGCACUUACUACGAAGUAAGCUUUCCUAGUUUUAAGUUGUUUUCUUUUCUCUUUGAUUAUCUUAAUUUCUUCAGCCUCUAUGUGGCUGUUUUAAUUCCAAAAAAUUGUUUCUGAAUAAACUGAUUCAUACCA